rnacentral:rRNA from 1 species
GGUAAAUUCUGCCCUAUGAAUUUUUAAAUGGCUGCAGUAUUUUGACUGUGCAAAGGUAGCAUAGUAAUUAGUUUCUUAAUUAGAAGCUGGAAUGAAUGGAUUAAUGAGAUAAAUAUUUUAUUAAUUUUAUUUUUAUAAAUUAAAUUUUGAGUAAAAAUGCUUAAUUGAUUUCUAGGGACGAUAAGACCCUAUAGAACUUUAUAUUAUAAUUGUUAAUUUACUUUUUUUAUACUAAAUUAAUUAUUUUAAUAAUUUACUGGGGUGGUGAAUAAAUUUUAACUUUAUUAUUAAAUUUCAAUAAUAAGUGUAAUUGCUUGAUCCUAAUGGAAAGAAGAUUAAGUUACCUUAGGGAUAACAGCGUAAUUUAAGUGGGGAGUUCUUAUCUAUACUUUAUUUUGCGACCUCGAUGUUGAAUUAAGGAAAGAUUGGGAAGCAGAAUUCUCAGGUCUAAGUCUGUUCGACUU